UAAUGAACUUUUUAAGCUUCGUAGGCUGUGAAUUUCACUCUCUUCCCAUUGCUAGUUUAAUGUCAAGUUGACACGUGCUAUAGCCAAUGAUCUGAGGGUAGGAAACCACAACUGAGAAAUUUCCUUCAUAUGGUUGAGCUGUAGGGAAGCCUGUAGGGCAUUCUCUUAAUUAGUGAUGUCAGAGGGCCCAGCCCAUUGUGGGCUAGCUGUUCCUGAGGGUUCUACUGGCCACGACUGGUGGAGGGAGGAGGGAGAGGGGGAUGCUUGACAGGAGUCAACUCAGCUGAAGGUGAGGCUUGAAGGAAGAGUAGCUUGAAUAGAAAUAGAAGCUAGGAGGCAAAACAAUUCUAGAACUGGAAAGCUCAAGAAAUGUUCAGGAAGGUUGUAUGAAACCUUAGCCUGUCUGAAGUGAGAGGUUCCUGCAAGGGCAAGAUGAGAAAAGAAGUCUGAGCAGCUAGGCAGGGCUGGCUUUUCCACCUCAAGGUCACUGCGUCUCCUUGCUGGACAAGAGUAGGACUCAUCUGUACCUCUCUGAGGGUGCCAUCUCAUCCCUCCCUACUUCCUCCAAGAUCCAUUGUCUCUGGCAUUCAGUGUUGAGAGUCGUUAAUAGUACUGUGCUGGGUACUUGAUGGGUAUAACUCUUGUUCUGUUUACAGCCAAAUCUGUGACAUGACAUGGACAAUGCUUUUAUUCUCACUUUGAGGAUGGAGUAAGAGGUGCCAGGUAGUUGGCUGCUCAAAUGGAGGUCCCGCUACUGAGAUUCAAAGACAGCCGAGUGAAGCUCCUUCAGUAUACAAUAACUUACUCCUGUGUUGAGAGGCAUUUUCUUCUUGUUUUUUUUUAUUCUUUUCUUCAUAAAUUAUACAUUUCCCUCUCCUAAGAAAUAACUUCUAUUAACUUUCUGUGUCUUCAAUCCCUGCUCCUGCCCCGUGCUCCCUUUUCAGACACAUUCCUUGAGGAAUGCGCUUGAGUCCCCUCACCCACCAUCACUUCCUCUGUGCUCAGAAGUGGAGGAUGAGCACUCUCUCUCUCUCUCUCUCUCUCUCUCUCUCUCUCUCUCUCUCUCUCUCUCUCUCUCUCUCUUGAUUUGCUUGUGCAGGUGUCUGACAUCAUUUGACUCUCUUGACCAUUUCUCUUCUUUCCUUCUCACUUCUUGGCUUCAUUUUAAAUUCAAAACUUAGAAUUUCUUCUCUGUUCUUUCUACCUUUCCCUAGAGCCUCUCUUUGAGUUUCCAUAACAGAGGGGAAUUGAGAGCUACCAUGUAUGUAUAUACAUUUGUCUUUAUUAGUUUAUAUUAAUUAUACACAAUGGGAUUUUCAUAUACUUAUACACUGUAUUUUGAGUGUAUCCACACAUAUACCUCCUUAUCCCCAUUUAUCUUCAUUCCACUCUGGCUAAUCCUUUUCCUCUUCCCAAGCAGUCCCCCUAAGGCUUUUGGAUUUUUUUUUUUUUUGAUGACCCAAUGAGUUACAUUAGAGUUGCUUAUAUGAGUGAGGGCUUGUUUAUAGGAACACAGGCACCUUACCAGUGGCUAUACCACUGGAAGAGAAUGCCCCUCCCUCCUCCACCAACCAUAACUGCCUAUAUAUCCUUAGGAAGGGGUGAGGACUUGUGAACUCCUUUCCCCAUUCAUGAUAGGCUGCCCACAGGUUCAAUAUCUUGUAGCUCUUUCAGGUAACCUCAGCUUUUGUGAGUUCAGAAGCACAGUGGCUAUGUCAUGACUGGAAGCCGGCAUUCUCCACCACUCUACCACUUGUCCUGGCUCCUACAGUAUUGUAUGACACUCCCCCUGGGGAGACAUGAGCAAACAUCUCUUCACCCCAGAUGGGAAGUGAUGAUGGACCAAAGCUCCUGAAUGCUGGCAUUACAAGCGCAUGCCACCGCUCACAACUAAAAAGAGUAGAUUUCUUCGUAAAUUGAAUUGUGGGAUUAUGAGAUCUGCAGAUGUAGAAGUCUGAUUGGAGUUUUAAUUCACAUUUCUCCAGUAAUUAAAGAUGUUAAAUACUUUUCA